AUGGAUAGAUUUUGGGGAGGAUUAAACCGUGAUAUUCAAGAGAUACUAAUUCAUGAAGAGUGUUAUCCUAUGGACCAUUUGUUUCAUCUUGCUUGCAAAGCUGAACAGGAAAUAAAACGACGUGUUGGCAAUGAGGAGAACAAGCGCACGGUGCACAUUCCAAGAGUUGAUAUGAUUGUUCCUUCAACUACUAGGCAUACUAUGACAACCUCAUCCGUUGUUGUCAGGACUACAUCACCUCCACCAUGUGACACAUCGCCCCCGAGAGUGGCUACAUCAUCUGAGUUGAUCAUAAGAGGUAAUGACAAAGGUACUGAUCUUCCAUCUCUACAUGAGAAUGAUGAAUGCCUUGUCAAUUUGAAUUCACCAUCUGAUGAGCUACCCACUACUUUGAUCACACCACCUAUUUUAGAGGACUACGUUGAUAAUUUGACUUUGCCAUGUGAUCAAACAACUGAAAUACCAACAAUUUUGAAUGCACCCAUUGAAUUAACUAUUGAUGCAAAAGAACCAAUGUUUAAUCAUUUUGAUAGGACCUCUAAUCUUGGUGAUGAUUCUGUGUUGAAUGACUUAUUGCAUGUUUGCUUAUUUAAGCAUGUUGUAGCAUGUAAAUUUGAUGCAAGUAAGGUUUAUUCACCAAUGUUGGGAUGGUUUAAUGAUGAACAUUGUCAAUCUUUUGAAAUGAAUAAGAGCUUCACUUAUAUGUGCAAACUGAGUUGCAAUAUUUUCAUGCCUUCUACUUCUUGUGCUAAUUUUUUGGCUUUAGAUUUUAUGAACUAUGGAAGUUACUCAUCUAUUCAUGUGUCAUAUAUGCAAAAAUCAAGGGAAGUAAAAAUGGAUGACAUAUACAUAUACAACAUGUACACCUUGUCUCUUUUGUUAGCCACAUUUCAGAUUAAGCAACGCCGAUGA
rnacentral:rRNA from 1 species